AGCGCGCGGGCGGCAGGCGGUGGCCGGCGGUUCAUCCCGGUGUCCUGCGCGCGCUGCUGCCUUCGCCCGCCCACCUCGCCCUCCUGUUCCUCUCCAUUCCUGCAUUUCCUCCUUCUUGCUCUCUUUCACUUUCCUCUUUGCUUUAUUGAUUGAUCCAGCCAAGCCAUGGGCUGUUUCUCGUCUGUCCUGCCUGGCUACCAUGCUGCCCUGCCUUGGAACCAGCCAACUAUGGACUGAAACAUCUACAAACUGAUUUCCACCUUUUUAAUAGGAGUAUUCCUAGCUAGGCGUGGUGGCACACACCUGUUAUCCCAGUACUUAGGAGGCUGAGGCAGGAAGAUCACCAUGAGUUCAAGGCCACCUUCAGCGACACAGAGAAUUGAAGGCUAUCCUGGACUACAUAGCAAGACCCUGUCUCAGAAAACAAACAGAAUAUUCCUGUUAUUUGUGAUAUUAAAA
ensembl:lncRNA